CAGUAACUUAGUCAGGGGUGGUGGCACAUGCCUGUAAUCCUAGCAGCUUAGGAAGCUAACGCAAGAGGAUUGGGAGUUCAAAGCCAGCCUCAGCAAAAGUAAAGCACUAAGCAACUCAGUCAUACCCUGUCUCUAAAAUAAAGUAUAAAAAAGGCUGAGGAUGUGACUCAGUGGUUGAGUGCCCCUGUGUUCAUCCCUGGUACCCCCCAAAAAAAGAAAGAAAAUGCUAUUAAAAGAAAAGAAACAGUGACUUACUUUCUCCAAAAAUCAGGUGAUACCAGUCACAAAGGCUAAACCUGCCCCUAACAGGUAUAAUACCAGAUAUGUAGGACCCCAGUAGACCUCCAGGAACUGAAUCUGAUGCAAUCACACAAGAGUCUUUAUUGCAAGCUCUAGCCUGGACUCACAACUGUUUCCAAUGCAGCAGUCCCUAGGAGUGAGCCCUGGUCCUUUGUUCAGUGAGAUUUUAUAGGGUUUUUGGGGAUACUCUAUGUGUCACAAGAUCACACAGUGAAUCAUUUCAUAUCACGGGAAAAUCAAACAACAACUCUUAACAUUGAUUAGCACAUUUAUUGACAGGAACAAGUUGGGUAGGGGUGAUUGCUUGGUACAAGAGGGGGGAUUCAUUUGAACUGACUGGUUUAAGCCAUGAGGGGUGUACGUGCUAAACUACAUGGUUUCCCAACAUGUUAUCAAUCACCGAGACUACUGGAGGAGUCAUCUGGAACCCCAGGUAUUUUCCCUGGCUCAUGCUGAUUGGUGGUUGAUAGGGGGUUGCUAUGGGUCCUCACCUAGGUAACUGAGUCAGGGACACCUGGCACUGCAGAUCUCUCCUGUUAUUUACAGACAAAGAACUCAGCAAGGUGGCUAUGUGCCUAGGAAUGCUCUAUGGAUUUUCCCAAGGACAAAGGUCAUGCCCCCUACCUCUGGACAGGCCUUGAGGUAGAAGCUGGUUUCUCAAAAAUAGAGUCACAUCAGUUUCUCACAGGCAGCCAUGAUUCUGGCUUGUAAAAGAUAAUGCUCAAGGGGGAGUUGCUGCUGCUCUCACUUUCCUUUGCUUUCUCCCACUUGUUGCUGCUCUCCCUCUCUUGUUGUUCUCUCUGUGCAAGACAGACAUUGUCAGGUUCCUGACAAUAAGUCUGCUUAUGCCUCUGUAGUUGGUGUUCCUGUGUGGUCAGUCCUGCACCACUUUUCUUUCAUUGAUGCCAGUGACUUGGAUACAGGCUCUGAGACAAACUCUCCUCUUGACCCUUUGGGGAUUUGAGCUGCUUCAGGAUUCUGGGCUGAAGGCCUAGGACACUUCCUUCCAUUCACUGAGGGCUCUUUCUGUCUCCCCACACUGGCCUUAUUUGGAUAAGUGACCUUGCCCUUUACCUCCCAUCCUCCUUACACUUCUCCACUCUGGAGACUUACUAAACUUAAGUCUUGGCUCAGCACCAAGACUCACUACAAGUGACCUACUUUCCCAUUUCUCCCCCUUGGCGAGUUUCUACUCCAGUCUUGGCUCUAUUCUAUUUGGGCCUACAUGGCUAUCUGGGAGAGCUACAAAAGCCCUGAUACCAGGCACCAAGACCCUUGACAGGCUUCACAAGCCUGGGACUAGUGAAGUACUGGGUGAUAACCCCCUUCUCUCAGUCCCAGAAAGGGUUUAGCCCUGGGUCAGUGAAUCAUGUGUUGACAACCCCUCUUCACUCUUGUCCCUUCUUAUUCUUCUCUGUUUUGUCCUAGAGCCAGGGACGCCUGCUUCUAGCCACUCCAACACUCCAACUUGCCAUGGGUAUCUCUCAAUCCAAAACCCCAUCUGACUCACCUAUCAGCUGCCUCCUCACCCCCUCCAUUUGGCUCCAGAUCUAAAGGCCCAUCAACUGAUUCAAUUUUCCACAAAGUCAUGGCCUUUCUAUGACUUGGACAAUGGAUACAAAUGGCCACCUAAUUGCACCUUCAUUCUUAACAUUUUUGGGGAUCUUUACAACUUUUGUGAGUGUUUGGAUAAAUGGAAGGAAAACCCUUGCAUGCAAGCAUUCUCUUUUUUCUAUUCUAAACAUUCCCUCUAUUCUUCUUACUCUCUGUGUCAGUCCUGCUGCCCUACAUAAGUUCUCCUUGCUCACUCUCCCUUAACCCUUUCCCCAUCCCAAUCCUACCAGGUUUCCCCUUUUUAACCCACAAGAUCACUUUUCACUUUCUCAGCUUCCACUCUAUAUUGCUCUGCUGCCCCACCCAGCCACACUUCAUCACCUUACUCAGAUGCACCUUCACCACAUAGGGAAUCUACCUUUCUCCUGACCUCAACACCACAUCUCCUACUCCCACCUCUUCUUCUCCCUCUUUCUUCCCUCCUCAUACUCCCCACCUGACAACUUCAACAGCUCCCCUCACUCUCUUAAUGGUACCACUCACUCUUCCUCUUCUCCACUAAUAAAGUUUCAUAAAUUUUUACAUCCAAAUAUGGCCUAAUUACCGACUGGGAAAUAGAGUAAGGUUAAAAAGACAUAGGCAGCAAUCUCCCUGGCAAGGAUACACUGAAGCUAAUAUUGAAAUACAAAGUCAGACUCAGCAGGCUUGAUAAGAGGCCUAAGACUAAAGAAAAAAAAAAAAAAAAGUCAAUUUAAUUUUUUCCUUAGCUGCAACACAGAAAACUGACUUCAAACUCACUCUUUCUCUCUCUCACUCUCUGUCUCAUUCUCUCAUAUUGAUUUAAUAAAAUAAUUAAUGACCAUAUCAUUUUUUCUAGGACUCUUCUUUUUUUAAAAAAAAUUCUAUAUUAUUGAACUCAUAAUUUUGAUCCUGCAUG
rnacentral:lncRNA from 1 species